UUGACUGCGAGACCUACAAGUCGAGCAGGGRUCGAAAGWCGGGCUUAGUGAUCCGGUGGUUCCGCAUGGAAGGGCCAUCGCUCAACGGAUAAAAGCUACCCCGGGGAUAACAGGCUUAUCUCCCCCAAGAGUCCACAUCGACGGGGAGGUUUGGCACCUCGAUGUCGGCUCAUCGCAUCCUGGGGCUGUAGUCGGUCCCAAGGGUUGGGCUGUUCGCCCAUUAAAGCGGUACGCGAGCUGGGUUCAGAACGUCGUGAGACAGUUCGGUCCCUAUCCGUCGUGGGCGCAGGAAAUUUGAGAGGAGCUGUCCUUAGUACGAGAGGACCGGGAUGGACGCACCGCUGGUGUACCAGUUGUCUUGCCAAAGGCAUCGCUGGGGUAGCUAUGUGCGGAAGGGAUAAGUGCUGAAAAGCAUCUAAGCAUGAAGCCCCCCCCUC
rfam:Microbacterium sp. STBG005 Ion018_assembly_rep_c4491, whole genome shotgun sequence.